rnacentral:rRNA from 3 species
UUAAGUUAUUAAGGGCGCACGGUGGAUGCCUUGGCACUAGAAGCCGAUGAAGGACGUUACUAACGACGAUAUGCUUUGGGGAGCUGUAAGUAAGCUUUGAUCCAGAGAUUUCCGAAUGGGGAAACCCAGCAUGAGUUAUGUCAUGUUAUCGAUAUGUGAAUACAUAGCAUAUCAGAAGGCACACCCGGAGAACUGAAACAUCUUAGUACCCGGAGGAAGAGAAAGAAAAUUCGAUUCCCUUAGUAGCGGCGAGCGAAACGGGAAGAGCCCAAACCAACAAGCUUGCUUGUUGGGGUUGUAGGACACUCUAUACGGAGUUACAAAGGACGACAUUAGACGAAUCAUCUGGAAAGAUGAAUCAAAGAAGGUAAUAAUCCUGUAGUCGAAAAUGUUGUCUCUCUUGAGUGGAUCCUGAGUACGACGGAGCACGUGAAAUUCCGUUGGAAUCUGGGAGGACCAUCUCCUAAGGCUAAAUACUCUCUAGUGACCGAUAGUGAACCAGUACCGUGAGGGAAAGGUGAAAAGCACCCCGGAAGGGGAGUGAAAUAGAACCUGAAACCGUGUGCUUACAAGUAGUCAGAGCCCGUUAAUGGGUGAUGGCGUGCCUUUUGUAGAAUGAACCGGCGAGUUACGAUUUGAUGCAAGGUUAAGCAGUAAAUGUGGAGCCGUAGCGAAAGCGAGUCUGAAUAGGGCGUUUAGUAUUUGGUCGUAGACCCGAAACCAGGUGAUCUACCCUUGGUCAGGUUGAAGUUCAGGUAACACUGAAUGGAGGACCGAACCGACUUACGUUGAAAAGUGAGCGGAUGAACUGAGGGUAGCGGAGAAAUUCCAAUCGAACCUGGAGAUAGCUGGUUCUCUCCGAAAUAGCUUUAGGGCUAGCCUCAAGUGAUGAUUAUUGGAGGUAGAGCACUGUUUGGACGAGGGGCCCCUCUCGGGUUACCGAAUUCAGACAAACUCCGAAUGCCAAUUAAUUUAACUUGGGAGUCAGAACAUGGGUGAUAAGGUCCGUGUUCGAAAGGGAAACAGCCCAGACCACCAGCUAAGGUCCCAAAAUAUAUGUUAAGUGGAAAAGGAUGUGGCGUUGCCCAGACAACUAGGAUGUUGGCUUAGAAGCAGCCAUCAUUUAAAGAGUGCGUAAUAGCUCACUAGUCGAGUGACACUGCGCCGAAAAUGUACCGGGGCUAAACAUAUUACCGAAGCUGUGGAUUGUCCUUUGGACAAUGGUAGGAGAGCGUUCUAAGGGCGUUGAAGCAUGAUCGUAAGGACAUGUGGAGCGCUUAGAAGUGAGAAUGCCGGUGUGAGUAGCGAAAGACGGGUGAGAAUCCCGUCCACCGAUUGACUAAGGUUUCCAGAGGAAGGCUCGUCCGCUCUGGGUUAGUCGGGUCCUAAGCUGAGGCCGACAGGCGUAGGCGAUGGAUAACAGGUUGAUAUUCCUGUACCACCUAUAAUCGUUUUAAUCGAUGGGGGGACGCAGUAGGAUAGGCGAAGCGUGCGAUUGGAUUGCACGUCUAAGCAGUAAGGCUGAGUAUUAGGCAAAUCCGGUACUCGUUAAGGCUGAGCUGUGAUGGGGAGAAGACAUUGUGUCUUCGAGUCGUUGAUUUCACACUGCCGAGAAAAGCCUCUAGAUAGAAAAUAGGUGCCCGUACCGCAAACCGACACAGGUAGUCAAGAUGAGAAUUCUAAGGUGAGCGAGCGAACUCUCGUUAAGGAACUCGGCAAAAUGACCCCGUAACUUCGGGAGAAGGGGUGCUCUUUAGGGUUAACGCCCAGAAGAGCCGCAGUGAAUAGGCCCAAGCGACUGUUUAUCAAAAACACAGGUCUCUGCUAAACCGUAAGGUGAUGUAUAGGGGCUGACGCCUGCCCGGUGCUGGAAGGUUAAGAGGAGUGGUUAGCUUCUGCGAAGCUACGAAUCGAAGCCCCAGUAAACGGCGGCCGUAACUAUAACGGUCCUAAGGUAGCGAAAUUCCUUGUCGGGUAAGUUCCGACCCGCACGAAAGGCGUAACGAUUUGGGCACUGUCUCAACGAGAGACUCGGUGAAAUCAUAGUACCUGUGAAGAUGCAGGUUACCCGCGACAGGACGGAAAGACCCCGUGGAGCUUUACUGUAGCCUGAUAUUGAAAUUCGGCACAGCUUGUACAGGAUAGGUAGGAGCCUUUGAAACGUGAGCGCUAGCUUACGUGGAGGCGCUGGUGGGAUACUACCCUAGCUGUGUUGGCUUUCUAACCCGCACCACUUAUCGUGGUGGGAGACAGUGUCAGGCGGGCAGUUUGACUGGGGCGGUCGCCUCCUAAAAGGUAACGGAGGCGCUCAAAGGUUCCCUCAGAAUGGUUGGAAAUCAUUCAUAGAGUGUAAAGGCAUAAGGGAGCUUGACUGCGAGACCUACAAGUCGAGCAGGGUCGAAAGACGGACUUAGUGAUCCGGUGGUUCCGCAUGGAAGGGCCAUCGCUCAACGGAUAAAAGCUACCCCGGGGAUAACAGGCUUAUCUCCCCCAAGAGUUCACAUCGACGGGGAGGUUUGGCACCUCGAUGUCGGCUCAUCGCAUCCUGGGGCUGUAGUCGGUCCCAAGGGUUGGGCUGUUCGCCCAUUAAAGCGGUACGCGAGCUGGGUUCAGAACGUCGUGAGACAGUUCGGUCCCUAUCCGUCGUGGGCGUAGGAAAUUUGAGAGGAGCUGUCCUUAGUACGAGAGGACCGGGAUGGACAUACCUCUGGUGUACCAGUUGUCGUGCCAACGGCAUAGCUGGGUAGCUAUGUGUGGACGGGAUAAGUGCUGAAAGCAUCUAAGCAUGAAGCCCCCCUCAAGAUGAGAUUUCCCAACUUCGGUUAUAAGAUCCCUCAAAGAUGAUGAGGUUAAUAGGUUCGAGGUGGAAGCAUGGUGACAUGUGGAGCUGACGAAUACUAAUCGAUCGAAGACUUAAUCAA